UACGCUUUUGCCAUUGCUGAAUCUUAAUUCAUUUUAUUUCAUUUCCUUUUUCAAUUUUUAUUUCACUUUGCCAUGCUGAUUUAAAAAAUUCAUAACUCACUCAAAAAUAGUCCAAAUAAUAUGCAAUUUUUUGUGUCAUUCUCCUUGUGAUGUGCUGGAUUUUUUGGUUAUUUUUAAUCAUGUUGUGCACGUGUGGAAAAAUUAAAUGCCUAGGGAUUGUUUGAAUGUGUCUUUUGUGCACCAUGCUCACUCUUUCAUUCAUAAAAUAAUGAUGCCUUAUCCAUAAAUGCCUAGGGAUUGUUUGAAUGUGUCUUUUGUGCACCAUGCUCACUCUUUCAUUCAUAAAAUAAUGAUGCCUUAUCCAAAAUGUUUGAAAUUUUAUAUGCACAUUCUUGACUCUUUCCUGGUGAUUUUGAUGUAUAGUUUGCUAAUUUUGAGUUUCUGG
rnacentral:lncRNA from 1 species